rnacentral:lncRNA from 1 species
CCUUCAGCCCUGGGGGUGUCACAGGGGGGUUUGAGGGGCACCCCCAGCCCUGUGGGGGACACUCGGGGGGUCCUGUGCUCAGCCCUGCCCGUGGCGUCCCCCGGGUGCCCCAGAACAGCGACCUCUGCCCCUUCCCCAGUGCCACAACUCCUCCAGACUGCCCCCCAGCCCCUCCCCAGCCCGGAGCUCCCGGAUUUGGGGUUCCACAGGAGCCAGCCUGGCCCGGCAGCUCCAGAGCUCCCAGUCCCAGACUGGUCGGGGACUGGCCGGACCCGCUCCCCCCUCCAGCCCGGCUCCCCCGCUGCCCUCCCCGGCCUCCAGCUCCACAACCGGCUUUUCCUGCCGCAGAUGCCGCUCCCGGCGGGGCCCAGCCCUGGCGACAGCCCGGCUGGAGGGCGACAGCCAGGCUGGGGACCUGCGGAUGGCCCAGCGGCUCCUGGGGACCCUGGGAACCUCCCAGGGAAUCCCGGCGCAGCUCCCAGGGCUGGGCUGGGCUGCUCCCAGACACUUCUGUCCCCUCGCAAUGAAUUCCUGGAAUCCCCAGCCACAAUUCCCACGUGGGAAGCGAGGCCGUGCUGUUCCCGCAGCUCUUGGCCUCCUGCAGAGCCUCCUGCUCCCCCUGGGCAUUCAUCCCUGCUCUCUUUAUUUCUGCAGAUCUGUUUCUAUUAUUUCCAUUCCUUUCUCUUUCUAUUUCUAUUAUUUCUAUUUCUGUCAUUUUCCUGUUCUCACUCUUAUUCCUGUUCCUGUUCUUUCCUCUUCCACCUUCUAAUCCUAUUCCUGCUUUUAAUCCUAUUCCGACUCAUAUUCCCGUUCUUCCUAUGCAUUCUUAUUCCCCUUCCUAUGCGUUCCUAUUCCUAUUUAUCCACACUCCUAUUCUUAAUCCUAUUCCUAUUUAUUCCUAUUAUCAUUCCUAUCCUAUUACAAUUCCUAUUCCCUUUCCUGUUCCCGUUCUCAUUCCAAUUUCCCUCUUCCCAUUCUCUCUCUCCUUUCCCAUUCCUGCUCCUUUCCUGUUCCCCAUUUCUCUCCCUCUUACCCCGCUGUUCCGGAGGUGUCGGGACUCGAACCCUUGGCCCGGCGGUUCCGGCGGUACCGGGACUCGAACCCGCGGCCCAGCGGUUCCGGCGGUACC